rnacentral:pre_miRNA from 2 species
GGUGGGCAACAAUUCCACCAGGACUGUCCCACCGUCCUCCUGGCGGAUUUGAUGCCACGGC